rnacentral:sRNA from 1 species
CUUCACUCUCUAAUCAUACACAUCAUCAUUAUUACUAACCCUGUAUCAUUUCCCCAUCUGUGCUUGUGUGUGUGUGCGUGUGUCUCCAGGUCAAUGUUUUCUGUUCCACUUUGUAAGCUAUGAAGGCAGGCACUUGGUCAAUACAGUGCUUUUUGUGCAGCAUCAAACUUAGCUCCAUGUAUGAUUAGGUCCCUAAAACAUUACUUUUGGUGAUGAUGAUGAUGAUCCACGAGUAGCUGGGGAUGCUAGAAGCAUUGGUAGUCAUCGGGAAAGGCUGGAGGUAAGUUCUGGAAUAUAGUUAAGACUCAGUGCCGCCCAAUGCUGUGGGUAGAAAAAAAGGAAAGGUACCCUUUGAUAUCUGUGAGAGAUAUAAAGGAAAGGAGUGUGUGUGAUGUGAGGCCAAAGAGAUGAGAAGUAUGGGAAGAGAAAACAGACUUGCUCCUGCAGCAUGGGGCCUAUUGCUGACUACUGACUACUACUACAUUCUCAGCACUUGUGGGGACCAAAGGGAAGCUUCUCCUCUCAAACAUUUGUGUUUACCUUUCUAUUUAAUGUGUGAAUAUUUUCUUUCCUGCACCGUGUGCGGUCAGUCCGUGACAAGUGUGCCCUAGGCUCUCAUGGUUGCCAGCACAUUUGUGUGAGUGAUGGGGCCGCAUCCUACCACUGUGAUUGCUAUCCUGGCUACACCUUAAAUGAGGAUAAGAAAACAUGUUCAGCCAUUGAGGAAGCACGAAGACUCAUUUCCACUGAAGAUGCUUGUGGAUGUGAAGCUACACUGGCAUUCCAGGA